CCUACGGGAGGCAGCAGUAGGGAAUCUUCCGCAAUGGACGAAAGUCUGACGGAGCAACGCCGCGUGAACGAUGAAGGCCCUCGGGUCGUAAAGUUCUGUUGUUAGGGAAGAACAAGUGUUAGUUGAAUAAGCUGGCACCUUGACGGUACCUAACCAGAAAGCCACGGCUAACUACGUGCCAGCAGCCGCGGUAAUACGUAGGUGGCAAGCGUUGUCCGGAAUUAUUGGGCGUAAAGCGCGCGCAGGCGGUUUCUUAAGUCUGAUGUGAAAGCCCCCGGCUCAACCGGGGAGGGUCAUUGGAAACUGGGAAACUUGAGUGCAGAAGAGGAAAGUGGAAUUCCAAGUGUAGCGGUGAAAUGCGUAGAGAUUUGGAGGAACACCAGUGGCGAAGGCGACUUUCUGGUCUGUAACUGACGCUGAGGCGCGAAAGCGUGGGGAGCAAACAGGAUUAGAUACCCUGGUAGUCCACGCUGUAAACGAUGAGUGCUAAGUGUUAGAGGGUUUCCGCCCUUUAGUGCUGAAGUUAACGCAUUAAGCACUCCGCCUGGGGAUCGGUCGCAAGACUGAAACUUAAAGGAAUUGACCGGNUGAGACGNGCGAGACGACGACGAGGGAGAG
rnacentral:rRNA from 1 species